rnacentral:RNase_P_RNA from 1 species
GAAGCUGGCCAAACGGCCGCUGCGGGGCUCGACCCCGCAGAGGAAAGUCGGGACUCCAUAGGGCAGGGUGCUGGGUAACGCCCAGACGCCGUGAGGCGAGGAAUAGGGCCACAGAGACGAGUCUUUCCCGGCUUGUCGCCGCGCUCAGGCGCGGAGACAAAGUCUCCCGGAGCAGGGCAGGGGUUCUGCUCCUGCACCGGACGGGAGAUGCGAAGGGGGCCGUCGCGCUUGCGCGGCGGCUUUCCCGACGCAGUCGGGAAAGGGUGAAACGCGGCAACCUCCACCCGGAGCAACACCAAGUAGGCAGGCGAUGAGGCGGCCCGCGGAGCCUGCGGGUAGGUGGCUGGAGCCCUGGGGUGACUCAGGGCCUAGAUGAAUGGCCGUUCACGACAGAAUCCCGCUUAUCGGCCAGCUUCACUU